UUCUGACCGUAAACGAUGCCAACUAUCAAUCUGCCAGCAGCUUCCAGUUGUUGGCAGGCGGAUCGACGGAAACGAAAGUUUUUCGGUUCCGGGGGAAGUAUGGUUGCAAAGCUGAAACUUAAAGGAAUUGACGGAAGGGCACCACCAGGAGUGGAGCUUGCGGCUUAAUUUGACUCAACACGGGAAACCUCACCCGGCCAGUACAUCAUAAGGAUUGACAGAUUGAAAGCUCUUUCAUGAUUUGAUGAAUGGUGGUGCAUGGCCGUUCUUAGUUCGUGGCGUGAGUCGUCUGCUUAAUUGCGAUAACGAGCGAGACUCCGAUUGUUAAAUAGCUGGCAGUUUACUUCGACUGCACAGCUUCUUAACGAGAUUCGCGUCUUCAAGGCGCAAGAAAUGGAGCAAUAACAGGUCUGUGAUGCCCUUAGAUGUUCGGGGCCGCACGCGUGCUACAAUGAUGGUAACAGCGUGAUUGUCCUCGCCCGAGAGGGCUUGGCAAACAGUUGAGAUAUUAUUAUGGCUGGAAUUGAGUGUUGAAAUUUUCUCUCAUGAACGA
rnacentral:rRNA from 1 species